GAUAAUGGUCAAGCCCCAUGAGGAGUACC
rnacentral:piRNA from 1 species